rnacentral:rRNA from 1 species
UACGAAGGGGGCUAGCGUUGCUCGGAAUCACUGGGCGUAAAGCGCACGUAGGCGGAUUGUUAAGUCAGGGGUGAAAUCCUGGAGCUCAACUCCAGAACUGCCUUUGAUACUGGCGAUCUUGAGUCCGGGAGAGGUGAGUGGAACUGCGAGUGUAGAGGUGAAAUUCGUAGAUAUUCGCAAGAACACCAGUGGCGAAGGCGGCUCACUGGCCCGGUACUGACGCUCAGACACGACAGCAUGGGGAGCGAACGGG